rnacentral:tRNA from 1 species
ACCUUUUUAGUAUAAUCAAUACUAGUAAUUUCCACUUACUAAAUCCUAAUUUAUAGGAAAAGGUG